AUGUAUCUGUCCGGUUUCAUCUACUUUAGGAGAAGGUAGUCGGCCUAAUUGGGGACACGCAUUUAGGAAUAGUCAGCCAUUUUAUCACGAGUCCACGCUCCAGAGCCCCCCAAGACCUGAGCUUCAAUCAGCACCAGAGCUCUUGUUUAUUAGUAUAAAGGGCCUUAGAAACGAGUUCCCACUGGCGGAAGCAGUUCGAGGCGGGUGGAUUGGUCAGGAAUAGGAGCGGUACUUCAGCUCUUGCAGGUGCAGACCGGGAAAAUCUGGUGUGCUCCGUGGUUGGUUCUCUUAGGAACGGCACCAUGGGCUUGAUUCUUAAGUGGUCCUGCGUGCAUCCAGCGGCUGAUUUGGUGGAUUGUGCGCCCCUGGAGUCGGACUAGAAGGUUGGAGAAUCCCGCUGCAAGACUUUCCUUGCAUUUGCCUCAGGCAAACUUUCCUGAGAGGCGGCUGCUGGAGCUUUUAAAGGAUGGAGGGCUGGAACGUCACGGAAUUUACAGGACCAGUUAUAUGGCUGCUUUGCGUAGCUUGUUCAGAACUUGGCCUGAAGACUUCCUUUCACAAUAUCCUGGUGGCACGGUAUGGAGAGAGGCCCUACUCCCUCGCCCACCUCGAAUUACUAAAAGCCUCGUCCUGAGGGGUGGAGAGUCAAAGUCACCAGGAAACAGAGGGUUCUCAGCCAGCGGUAUUGUGCCCACCUGUAUCAGGAAGUGGAGCUUCUGAGUUAUCGUUAAAGUGAGGAAAUGUCAUUAUUUGUUUGAAGCUUCUUCUCGUCAUAAUCUUUGGAAAGGUUAUUACAUUCAAUAGUUACACCUGACACACCUGUAAAGUCUUCUAAUUUUCGUGAAAUGUGAAGUCUUCUAAUUUUCAAUCCACUCUUCUGUAGAAGCAAAGGACCAUUCUCCA